UGGGCUUUAAUUUAAUAAAAGUGUCUGAUUUGCAGUCAGAAGAUGUAGGUUGAAAUCUUACAAGUCCUA
rnacentral:tRNA from 1 species